GACGGAGGAUGCAAGUGUUAUCCGGAAUCACUGGGCGUAAAGCGUCUGUAGGUGGUUUAAUAAGUCAACUGUUAAAUCUUGAGGCUCAACCUCAAAAUCGCAGUCGAAACUAUUAGGCUAGAGUAUAGUAGGGGUAAAGGGAAUUUCCAGUGGAGCGGUGAAAUGCGUAAAGAUUGGAAAGAACACCGAUGGCGAAGGCACUUUACUGGGCUAUUACUAACACUCAGAGACGAAAGCUAGGGUAGCAAAUGGG
rnacentral:rRNA from 1 species